UACGUAGGGUGCGAGCGUUGUCCGGAAUUAUUGGGCGUAAAGAGCUCGUAGGCGGUGUGUCACGUCGUUCGUGAAAACCUGCAGCUUAACUGUGGGCGUGCGGUCGAUACGGGCAUCACUGGAGUUCGGCAGGGGAGACUGGAAUUCCUGGUGUAGCGGUGAAAUGCGCAGAUAUCGGGAGGAAUACCAGUGGCGAAGGCGGCUUUCUGGGCCUGUUCUGACGCUGAGGAGCGAAAGCGUGGGGAGCAAACCGG
rnacentral:rRNA from 1 species